rnacentral:rRNA from 1 species
CCUACGGGUGGCAGCAGUGAGGAAUAUUGGUCAAUGGUCGCAAGACUGAACCAGCCAUGCCGCGUGCGGGAGGACGGUACUAUGUAUCGUAAACCUCUUUUGUACGAGGAUAAAGCCUGGUACGCGUCCCCGGUUGAGUGUAUCUUACGAAUAAGCAUCGGCUAACUCCGUGCCAGCAGCCGCGGUAAUACGGAGGAUCCGAGCGUUAUCCGGAUUUAUUGGGUUUAAAGGGUGCGUAGGCGGAUUGAUAAGUUAGAGGUGAAAUGUCGGGGCUCAACCCCGACACUGCCUCUAAUACUGUUGGACUAGAGAAUAGUUGCGGUAGGCGGAAUGUAUGGUGUAGCGGUGAAAUGCUUAGAGAUCAUACAGAACACCGAUUGCGAAGGCAGCUUACCAAACUAUAUCUGACGUUGAGGCACGAAAGCGUGGGUAGCAAACAGGAUUAGAUACCCUAGUAGUC